UAGUGCACAAGACUCAAGUUGUUAAUGCAGCCUGUUGAGUUCCAUCCAUGUGAGAACAGAAACUCUAGCAUUAACAAAACUAGAAGUCUGGUGGUAUUUGCUAAUGAGACUUGGACCUCAUCUCCCUGCUAAUUUUGAACAGGUUUGUGUGCCUCUGAUUCAGAGCACAAUAAGUGAUUCUAGUACUUCACCUCCAGGAAAUUCAUCACGUGUAGCUGCUUCUCCAGGAUUAAGUCCUAUGACUCCUGUACACAAAGGUGCUUCCCCAUAUGGAGUUCCUGUAACUACACGGAUGAAUAUGAGUACAAAUUUAGGUGGAAUGGCAGCAAUUCCUUCCAUUCAGCUUUUGGGACUUGAAAUGCUGCUUCAUUUUUUAUUGGGUCCAGAAGUCUUAAAUUUUGCUAAGCAACACAAACUUGUAUUGAACUUAGAACCACUUGAACAUCCGUUAAUCAGCAGUCCUUCUUUUUUUUCUAAACAUGCACAUACACUUAUCACUGCUGUUCAUGACAGCUUUGUUGCAGUUGAAGAAGAUGCUCUGGUAAAUAGUACAAAAUUUUUUAUUUAUGAUCUUUUUUUAUAGAAGUUAAGAGUAGGGAUGGUGAUGCACAACUAUAAGCCCA
rnacentral:lncRNA from 1 species